GGAUUUCCACAGUGUGGCUUCUGGUCAGCUGCUCAGCAGAGGAGGAACUGGAGCCCACCUCAGCCCCUCUGGCCUGUCCUGGCCACAAAAAUCCCCCCAGCCUCUUGCACACCGAGGGGUGUGCUGUGUCUGGAGAGGCGUCGUGAAUCCGAGUAGUGCUGGAGAGCCGUGCCCUCCAAGAGGUGCCAGGAAACACUCCACAGGAAGUCUGGGGCUGUAGGGCCUGCUGAGGGAUGCCACCCACCGAGGAAAGGGGUGCAGAGCUCCCCACCCUUAGGAACACGGUUCAGGAAUUAUAUGUUCAGCACGAACGGGGCCCAUGUGAGAUCACGACCCUUCUGUCGUCUGUGUCAGUCAUCGUCUUUGAAGAUGGGCUCAUGACCCACUUGUUCAUUCUCCUGGACCAGCCAUCUUUCAAUCAUUCGUCAACAAUCUAGUAUUGUGUAAGGGGUAAGAAGGCCGAGCAUCCUGAGCGGGACACUGUCUUCAUCACGUCUAUUGACCGAAGGUCCCUCGGCCUGCCUUCCAUCCUCGGGGCUGAAGAGAAGAUCUCAGGGCGGGACCAAUCCCACGUCUCGCCAGCCUCCCUGCGUCCCAACCGGAGCCAAAGCAACGUCCCAGGGCCGGAACCGCCCCCUGCCCUCCGGCCUCUGCCGCCCCGGGCCGCCUCGGGUCCCCAGGACUCAUCGCAUUGCACUCUUUAUCCCUGUGUCAGGGCCGCAAGCAGCCCCGUCAGGCUCCGCGCAUCCCUGGCUCCGUCUCCGCCUUGGAUCACAAGACCCCGCGCUCGGCCCUCGGGAUCCACAUCCUCGGCAGCAGGAUCUCCAUCCUCAGGCUCCUCGCGGAAGGCUCCGUGCGCCAGGGCGGAGCUGGAGGGCUGCCCCACCCCGUGCCGCCCCAACGCGCUCUCCCUCCGCCCUCGGAAACCCCUCUCUCCCAUGUCAGCUCCUCGCUUGUCGCCCGCUUUCUGCCCAUGUUCUCAGUGCUGCCCCUGAGGGAUCCUGUU
rnacentral:lncRNA from 1 species